rnacentral:rRNA from 1 species
CAGUCGCCGCGGUAAUACGGAGGGUGCAAGCGUUAAUCGGAAUUACUGGGCGUAAAGCGUGCGUAGGCGGUGAGUUAAGUCUGCUGUGAAAUCCCCGGGCUCAACCUGGGAAUGGCAGUGGAUACUGGCUCGCUAGAGUGUGUCAGAGGAUGGUGGAAUUCCCGGUGUAGCGGUGAAAUGCGUAGAGAUCGGGAGGAACAUCAGUGGCGAAGGCGGCCAUCUGGGACAACACUGACGCUGAGGCACGAAAGCGUGGGGAGCAAACAGGAUUAGAUACCCGCGUAGUCCCUGUCUCUUAUAC